rnacentral:rRNA from 1 species
AUGGGUUUAAUCACACAGUCAGAAUUUACCAAGAUUAAUAAAAUAGUUCCUGCUUGUGAAUUUGCUGUCAAGCUGUGCGGUACCUCUGGCACUGUAUCUUGCUUUGCUGCCUAUUUUGUUUGCAAUACAAUAUUCAGUUCCAUCAGGUUGAUAAUCGGGAACAAAAAUUAUUAUGACGUCAGGAAGCCAUGCGUGGGGAGCCUAUGCUAUGAUUUUUCUAACUUGGAGAAGUUUCUCAAUCUGAAAUCUGUCAGACAGAGCCUAGGCGUUGGAGACAUAGAGUUUGUUUCCUGCAGCCCGACCGUCUAUCAGGCUAUGCUCUUAGAUUGGAUGAGGAACCUUGAAGUUGGGAUCCCUGAACUCCUUGAGAACGACAUCAAAGUGCUGAUUUAUGCUGGAGAGUAUGAUCUCAUAUGCAACUGGCUAGGAAACUCAAGAUGGGUAGACUCUAUGGAAUGGUCUGGAAAGAAAGCCUUCGUGUCCUCGGUGGAGAAACCCUUCGCGGUUGAUGGAAAAGAAGCCGGCAUUCUAAAAAGCCACGGCCCUUUGAGUUUUCUGAAGGUCCACGAUUCUGGUCACAUGGUACCCAUGGAUCAACCGAAGGCCGCCUUGGAGAUGCUCAAGAGGUGGAUGUCAGGAAACCUUUCAGACGCCUCCCCGAGCUCUCAGAGGCUCGACUUCGCCAUAUAA